rnacentral:rRNA from 1 species
UACGGAGGGUGCGAGCGUUGUCCGGAAUCAUUGGGCGGAAAGGGCGCGUAGGUGGCGGGACAAGCGUGCGGUGAAAGCCUGGGGCUCAACCCCGGGUCGGCCGUGCGAACUGUUUUGCUUGAGCACUGUAGAGGCAGGCGGAAUUCCGGGUGUAGCGGUGGAAUGCGUAGAGAUCCGGAAGAACACCGGUGGCGAAGGCGGCCUGCCGGGCAGUAGCUGACACUGAGGCGCGACAGCGUGGGGAGCAAACAGG